UUUUAAAGACAAUGACUCAGGGUGGUAGAAAGAGCUGGGGAUCUGCUGCAGGUGAGCUGUGGGGUGGCGGGGUCCACUCCAGUCUGCGUGAGUGUGGGGCCCCAGGGUGUGGGCGUGGAGGUAGAUGUAAGUGUGGAUGUAAGUGUGGGUGUAAGUGUGGGUGGGUGUAAGUGCGGGCGUGGAGGUAGAUGUAAGCGUGAGUGUAAGUGUGGGUGUGGAGGUAGAUGUAAGUGUGGGUGUAAGUGUGGGUGUGGAGGUAGAUGUAAGCGUGGGUGUAAGUGUGGGUGGGUGUAAGUGUGGGCGUGGAGGUAGAUGUAAGUGUGGGUGGGUGUAAGUGUGGGCGUGGAGGUAGAUGUAAGCGUGGGUGUAAGUGUGGGCGUGGAGGUAGAUGUAAGUGUGGGUUUGGUCAUGGGUGUGGUGUGGGCGUUGGUGCGCGCGUGGGUGCAUGCGCCAGUGUGAAUACAAUGGCACACAGUCUCACUCAGCCUCUCCGAAGACCCUCUGACUCCCAGCAGCAGGGUUUGUGCCGGUUUUGCUUGCUUUUCAGAGUAACUAUGGAAAAGAAAGCAUGAUGUCCUCUGGAGUUCUACAGAACAGAGCCCUCAGGUCAGGGCAUGCCCUGUGUCAGCGCCUCAGACCCCAGCUUUUACUGUGCCCAGGGUGAUGGGGGGUUAGCGGGCCACUGUGGUCUGCUGUGGGCUUUUUAAAGGCCAAAUAUGGCAGGUAAACUCCCUGGAGGAUGUAAGAGAACAUUCAAAUGUUUGAGACGAAAUGGUUUUAGUCUAAGCCAUUUUCACGAGGUUGGGGAGUUAAUACAACCUAGUCGGCCUUAGAGAUUUUCCCUAAACACUGUCAGCCUCCAGGAGGAACAAAUUCUGCAGGAACAGAACAUGCCCUUUGUCACCCACAUCUCAUCCCACCUCACCCUUCCUCCAGGUUUCUUACAUCGCAGCCGGGAUCCAGGGUACGUUAAACUGAGUGGGGAGCCCCCUGGCAGACGUACGCUGAGCAGCAGGGCCGGGGCCAGGCCCAGGGCCUUCCAAGCUCAGGCCCCACG
rnacentral:lncRNA from 1 species